GACGAACGCUGGCGGCGUGCCUAAUACAUGCAAGUAGAACGCUGAAGCUUGGUGCUUGCACCGAGCGGAUGAGUUGCGAACGGGUGAGUAACGCGUAGGUAACCUGCCUGGUAGCGGGGGAUAACUAUUGGAAACGAUAGCUAAUACCGCAUAAGAGUAGAUGUUGCAUGACAUUUGCUUAAAAGGUGCAAUUGCAUCACUACCAGAUGGACCUGCGUUGUAUUAGCUAGUUGGUGAGGUGACGGCUCACCAAGGCAACGAUACAUAGCCGACCUGAGAGGGUGAUCGGCCACACUGGGACUGAGACACGGCCCAGACUCCUACGGGAGGCAGCAGUAGGGAAUCUUCGGCAAUGGACGGAAGUCUGACCGAGCAACGCCGCGUGAGUGAAGAAGGUUUUCGGAUCGUAAAGCUCUGUUGUAAGAGAAGAACGAGUGUGAGAGUGGAAAGUUCACACUGUGACGGUAUCUUACCAGAAAGGGACGGCUAACUACGUG
rnacentral:rRNA from 1 species